rnacentral:pre_miRNA from 1 species
AAGUCGUAAGUGAGAGUCGGAGGAAACUAAACAAAUUAACCUCUCAAUCUCAAUGAGAAAUUCUUAAUUUGUUUAAUUUCCUCCAAUAUCUCAUUUCCGACAU